rnacentral:rRNA from 1 species
AUUGAACGCUGGCGGCAUGCCUAACACAUGCAAGUCGAGCGGAUGAAGGGAGCUUGCUCCUGGAUUCAGCGGCGGACGGGUGAGUAAUUCCUAGGAAUCUGCCUGGUAGUGGGUGAUAACGUCCGGAAACGGGCGCUAAUACCGCAUACGUCCUGAGGGAGAAAGUGGGGGAUCUUCGGACCUCACGCUAUCAGAUGAGCCUAGGUCGGAUUAGCUAGUUGGUGGGGUAAAGGCCUACCAAGGCGACGAUCCGUAACUGGUCUGAGAGGAUGAUCAGUCACACUGGAACUGAGACACGGUCCAGACGCCUACGGGAGGCAGCAGUGGGGAAUAUUGGACAAUGGGCGAAAGCCUGAUCCAGCCAUGCCGCGUGUGUGAAGAAGGUCUUCGGAUUGUAAAGCACUUUAAGUUGGGAGGAAGGGCAGUAAGUUAAUACCUUGCUGUUUUGACGUUACCAACAGAAUAAGCACCGGCUAACUUCGUG